UGGGGGCGCUCCCAUAUGGUCGACCUGCAGGCGGCCGCGAAUUCACUAGUGAUAGAGUGUGAGCAUGGGUCAGAUUGAACGCUGGCGGCAUGCCUUACACAUGCAAGUCGAACGGCAGCGCGGGGCAACCUGGCGGCGAGUGGCGAACGGGUGAGUAAUAUAUCGGAACGUACCCUGGAGUGGGGGAUAACGUAGCGAAAGUUACGCUAAUACCGCAUACGAUCUAAGGAUGAAAGUGGGGGAUCGCAAGACCUCAUGCUCCUGGAGCGGCCGAUAUCUGAUUAGCUAGUUGGUGGGGUAAAGGCCUACCAAGGCAUCGAUCAGUAGCUGGUCUGAGAGGACGACCAGCCACACUGGAACUGAGACACGGUCCAGACUCCUACGGGAGGCAGCAGUGGGGAAUUUUGGACAAUGGGCGCAAGCCUGAUCCAGCAAUGCCGCGUGAGUGAAGAAGGCCUUCGGGUUGUAAAGCUCUUUUGUCAGGGAAGAAACGGUAGGGGCUAAUAUCCCUUGCUAAUGACGGUACCUGAAGAAUUAGCCCCGGCU
rnacentral:rRNA from 1 species